AGAAAGCUCGGUUGACUUAUAGUUCAAAACAAUAGUCUUUGAAGUUUCUUUGGCAAAUGCUUACGUAGCAUAUUGAGACCAAGUCUUGUUUUCUCUCUUUCAGACUCUAUUAAAAUAGCUGUAGUGUACAUUCUUGCACCUCCAGCAUCUCAAUCUUGCCUGCAAAAUUCUUUGGCAGCAGUCAUGGAUGUCCGAAACAAUCCAUGGAUCAUGUUUUUUGUUAUCUUUUUUUUGUUUUCCUCUCAACUCCCAUGUCUCCCUUGGAGCUGAUACAAUCUCUGCAAACAGUUCUCUCUCUAGAGACCAAACUAUUGUCUCAGCACGAAAAGUCUUUGAACUUGUUUUCUUCCAUCCAGGAUCAUCGCUUGCACGACAGGAGUAGAUCCUAGCUUUUGUUCACUUUUUGUUAUGUAGUUCUAGGGAGUUUAUCCUUGUAUUUUGAAAUAUUAAAACAUUUUAUAACUUAAUUUAUAUAAUUGAUGUUUAAUGUUU